rnacentral:rRNA from 1 species
CAGUCGCCGCGGUAACACGUAGGGUGCGAGCGUUAAUCGGAAUUACUGGGCGUAAAGCGUGCGCAGGCGGUUGUGUAAGACAGGUGUGAAAUCCCCGGGCUUAACCUGGGAACUGCGCUUGUGACUGCACAGCUAGAGUAUGGCAGAGGGGGGUGGAAUUCCACGUGUAGCAGUGAAAUGCGUAGAGAUGUGGAGGAACACCGAUGGCGAAGGCAGCCCCCUGGGCCAAUACUGACGCUCAUGCACGGAAGCGUGGGGAGCAAACAGGAUUAGAUACCCGAGUAGUCCCUGUCUCUUAUAA